CUCCGGCGAAGUGUCAUUACUAUCUGUCUGGAAAGAAAUGUAAUGUUUUGCAUAAAUAAUGAGGCUGCUGGUGUUUGUCCUGAACGAACCUUUGAUUUCACUCCACGCCGCACUGGUGUAGAUGAAGAGAAAAUUACGUGUGGUGCUGGGGAGUUCAGAUUCAGGAUUGUCUGGUCCUUGAUGGACUUUAGGCUGUAAUCCUGUGACUUGGUAAACUUAGUUCUGAUGUAAUGAAGUGAUGCAAUGAUGUAGUGAACUAUGUUAAUCGUGAUGUAAUAAUGUGGUGCACUAAGUUAUAUUAUUGUUAUUAAGUAACUUGAUGGAUUAUAAGUAAUGAGUAGCGAACUAAGUUAUUAUAUAUUAUGCUGGCUUGUUAUACCAAAUUUGUUGGCUUAAUUUUUUGGCAUAAUUAAAGAAGAUUAGUGCACUUGGUGUUUUGUUAGACAUGUAUUAGGCGGAAAUACGAACAUUUGUCACUGUUAAGGGACAUUUCUACCAUAUUUAUCUGUGGUUUGUAUUGAUUGCUCAUGGUCACGUCUGUGUUAUCUAAAUGUCCUGAAAAUUUAAUUAUUUGGAAGAUGGCUUUGCAUUGUGUUUGGUUGCUGUUAUUCGGAACUAACUUCUGAAGCACAACCUGGGUUCAACGAGGAAGGCAGGAGACACCUUCAUGUUAUCAGUCCUGGACCACAUGUUUUUUGGGAAGGAGUGUAUUUCAUGAGAAAGUGGCUUCAUUUUUUGAUCCAUGUUGCCUGUUCAAGCCAAUACAAAAUCUGCUGGUACAUAAGAAAUUUGAGGAUCUUUACAAAAGAAACGAUCUUCAAGACACCAUGCCACCAGAGGUACUUUUUUUACCCAUGUUCUCUUUUAUAAACUGUGUUCGGUUCUGGGCUUCUGGCAAUGCUUCCACAUAUGCAUAUGUGGAUAUGCUAAUUGACGACAUCUGUGUUGAUUUUCUGCUAAAUCAAGUAUAUUACCUAGGGCAUACAUUUAUUUUCCCAGUAAAUCAAGUAUAUUACCUAGUGCCUUUCCUGUCAUACGCGAAUGUGAACAAUUCAUGAUUUUUACAGUAUAUGAUUUUGCUCUUAAGUUAUGUAUGAGUGUAAUCUCUUGUUCUAAAUAGUGUGUGAAGUUGGUGGUGACGACAAAUGCACUGGAAAAUGUUGGAAUUGCUAACUUGGAUACAUGGAUUUAGCACGAUGAGAGGAUAAAGGUCAGUAUGUUGUAAUAUAUGCCAUUUCAAUCUGAACUUCUGAAUGAUUGCCAUCUCUACCUCAAAAAACCGUUGGUUGUAACACUCUUGAUGGUUUGGCUCUACUAGCUGUUUUGAACGCAUUGACGAGCACCAAGAGGCAUGAUUCUCCUGACCAUAGUUUAAGAAACAAUCAACAUUUGAUCGAUUUUCUGUGAAUCAUUAUUUAAACAGCACAAAACAAAAGGUUCAUGCUGUCUUUUGUUCUUGCACACCUUGAGGGCAGUUAUGAAACCAGUGGACUGGUAACAAUUGAAGAUGGCAACUUCAAAUAAAGUGGAUUGGGAUCACGUAUCUUCAGGGCCAGUAAAUAAAUUUGGAGUUAUAGAACAUCAGAAUUAUAAUACGUUGAGCAUGAACUGAAAACCUGAAAUAGUAUAGAACAGAACAUCACAGCAAACCUGAGAUUGACAUUGGUUAAUGCUUUCUUCACGGCACUGCAACUUAUUUCCUCCCUGAUUUUGCUCCAAUCAAAUGGAAAACCAAGAGAAUGGACAAGAAAUUUUCUUUGGAACGUGGAUGAGGAGGCUAAGGGGAGGAAAUGUCCCGUGAAUUGGCGCUCUGUUUGCUCCCCCAAGAAUGCCGGUGGUUUGGGCAUCAAGGACACUGCUUGUGUUAGUAGAGCAUUGUACCUGCUUGUUUUAGUUUGGGCAUCAAGAUACCUUGGUCUGGCAGCCCUACCCCCUGUGAUAAUUAUUGAUAAAAGGCAUAAAGCUAUAUGUUCUCUGUUUGCACUGUUGCACACACAUUGAGCUUGGUGAUGCAGCUAAAGUGGGUUUUUGGAUGCCUCUUUCGGGUUGCCAGAAGAAUAUUACUGUCAAAGAAACUUUGGAACUAAAUGGUUGGAUGUGUGACAAAGUGUGGUCUGUUAAGUUGUCCAUGGGCCUGUAUGAUAUUCGAUGGCUACUAACGGCGGAUGGUCGCUUCGGCUGCCUUGCAUAUGGAUUUCACUUUGCUGCAAACUCCCCUCAACCACUGUUGGAUAGUGUUUGGAAACUGGAAAGUGAAGGCUGUGAGGAAUCACCCAUGGUCGACUUCUACUUGAUUUGGCCCGUCCUCUAGGGUUCCUCCCUCACUCCCCCCGCCGCCGCCNNNNNNNNNNNNNNNNNNNNNNNNNNNNNNNNNNNNNNNNNNNNNNNNNNNNNNNNNNNNNNNNNNNNNNNNNNNNNNNNNNNNNNNNNNNNNNNNNNNNNNNNNNNNNNNNNNNNNNNNNNNNNNNNNNNNNNNNNNNNNNNNNNNNNNNNNNNNNNNNNNNNNNNNNNNNNNNNNNNNNNNNNNNNNNNNNNNNNNNNNNNNNNNNNNNNNNNNNNNNNNNNNNNNNNNNNNNNNNNNNNNNNNNNNNNNNNNNNNNNNNNNNNNNNNNNNNNNNNNNNNNNNNNNNNNNNNNNNNNNNNNNNNNNNNNNNNNNNNNNNNNNNNNNNNNNNNNNNNNNNNNNNNNNNNNNNNNNNNNNNNNNNNNNNNNNNNNNNNNNNNNNNNNNNNNNAGCGCGCGCGGCUACCUGCCCGGGGCAUGGGCGGCGGCGGUGCUCCUCGGCUCGGCGGCAGUGGCCGGCGGCGCGUGAGGUGGUGGCGUGGCCCCUUGGCGGCGAGAAGGCGUGGUGGCGCUGGUUGGCCGGCGGCACGCCCCCAGCCCAGAUCUGGCCCUGCGGGUCCCAUCUGGGUCCUAGCGGGCCGGCUCCGCGGCGUGGCUUCAUCGUCGUCUGUGUGGUCUGGAGGAGGAGCAGCUCGAAUGGGGGCGGUGAUGCCGGCGGCGUGCCUGCUAGAGCGUGGUGGCAGGAGCUUUACGGGCGUGGAGGUCCCGGCCGGGCCUGUGGGCCCACGGGCCUGGUAUGCUCCUGCUACUGUGUCCGGUCGGCUACCAUCGUUGACAUUUUAACCCUAAAAAACUCAGGAUUUUAUUUAUUCAUUUUAUUUUGGGAAAUAUAUAAUUGAAAAUUAGUUUACAUAUACAUAUAUAAUGUGAAAUAAAGACAUAUUUCAUAUAUUUGAAUCGCUGGUUUGAACCAUCCCAAACAAGGUGUACCACGAUUAGCUACCGAGGCAAUAUAGAGGAACAAAGGCUACAUGAUAGACUAGCAAGGCAUGCGAUCGAAUUGGCAUCGUCGAUGUUGAACUAACACCGGUGGUCAGGGUGGCACCUAGAGGAGGGGAUGUUGGCGACGCAAGGGAAGGAGGGGCAGCGCCAUCUGAAUGGUGGAUGGAUGGAUGGGUGCAACAACCUCCGUGAGGGGAGAACUGAGAGUCGGGUGGUCUUGCGAAGAAGGCAACGUGUGUAGGGUUGAUAGCUCGGCAGUGAAGUUGUAAUCUGUCCUACUACGUGGCACAACAGGUUGGGGUCCGUCCGCAGGGACAGUGAGAGGAAGUGAAGAAGAGCUAAUGUCGAUAGGCCAAAACAAUUUAUGGGAUCAUGAAACUUUAUUCAGGGUUAUUAAGUGGUAGUUACACGAUCAUGUGGCAUUCUCAGCCCGACAUGACAGUUGAAACCUAAUGACAGAGAGGGUUUUGCUAAUCUAUCAGCUUCAAAGUUGUGGCUUCUACCUUCAUGACUGUAUUGCACACCUCAAAAUCAUUCGUACGCUGGGAAAUCUCUAGAACAAUAGCACCGUAGCGACCUCCUGCCCCUAUCUUGAAUGUCUUUUAUUGCUUACAAACAGUCUGACACAAUUAUUACCUUGCGCAACAUCCAAUCAUCAGCCAAGGCCAAAGCUUCUCGACACGCUAGGGCUUCCAGAACGGUAGGAUAGGUGAUGUUCUUGAAUGUGAUCGAGGACGAGCCUAGGAACUUGCUCUGAUCGGUGUGGCACAUGACUCCCACUACUCAACGGCCACCAUCGCUAUACACCGCACUGUCAACAUUAAAGCUUGCAAAACCCUCUAGAGGCGCUUUUCCAAAUAGCAUGUGAUUCAUUCAGAGCUCUAGGCCAUUCGGAUGGUGAUUUGUUCUGUUGGGUGCUCUGGAUGUCAUAGAUGAAGUUUUUGACUAAAAAGUGUGCUCAAAGAGACAACUGGAACUCUCCUUCAUGAAUUUAUUUGCGCCAAGCGUGCCAAAUUGCCCAUAAUGUGACUACCAUAUCAAUAAAAUCAUAAUGUGCCUAUGUCUCCAUCAUCAUAAAGAGCCAAUGUCUGGUGUGUGGCUCUCUCGUCUCAAUCAUGGGUUCUACUACUUGGUAAACAUUGAAUGUCUAGUGUGUCACUACCAUAUGAAAGAUUUCUUUUUUCAGUAUCACAUUGACUCAGUCAUUUCGAAACCAGGAAAAGAGCAAUGCCGACUCUCAUGUUUUUAUGGGAAGCUAAUAUGAGCCUAAGGUACAAGACCUGGACACCAUAAAACAUCUGCGAAGUGAGAGCACAAUACCUUGGGGUGUGCAUUGGUGACUUUAAUGAAGUUAUUUGACAAGAGAAGCUGUGGGGCACUAACAGGACAUAGGGUUUUACACUUCAUAGCAGCCUGGACCUAGGUAAAAUCAUCAUGUUACGUAGGUGGGAUUCGUUCCCCUCUUUGCCCCUCACCGAACCAAUAAGAGGAGCAUCCAAAGCUCCCUGGUGCUGUGCAGCAAGCCACGACACAUGUGUUGUUUUAAUGAAGUUGUCACGCUAUUUUAGUCUUCAACCAUGAAAGUUUUGCAUGUUCAUUUUGAUACAUGUCUGGAGAUUUUUUUCUUAAUGUAUGGCAUUUUGUGUUCAUUUUGCCUGGCGGAUCCUGUAGUCACUAUCCUCAUUGAUAGUUUCAGAUCCCAGGUGAUUUUUGUGGCUAUGCAUUGUCCUACUUUUGUCAUAAUGUACGGAUUAAUUUGAGAGAAAUUUNNNNNNNNNNNNNNNNNNNNNNNNNNNNNNNNNNNNNNNNNNNNNNNNNNNNNNNNNNNNNNNNNNNNNNNNNNNNNNNNNNNNNNNNNNNNNNNNNNNNNNNNNNNNNNNNNNNNNNNNNNNNNNNNNNNNNNNNNNNNNNNNNNNNNNNNNNNNNNNNNNNNNNNNNNNNNNNNNNNNNNNNNNNNNNNNNNNNNNNNNNNNNNNNNNNNNNNNNNNNNNNNNNNNNNNNNNNNNNNNNNNNNNNNNNNNNNNNNNNNNNNNNNNNNNNNNNNNNNNNNNNNNNNNNNNNNNNNNNNNNNNNNNNNNNNNNNNNNNNNNNNNNNNNNNNNNGUUUCAAACUUCAUGGCAAAAUUGCCAUGCCAUCAUGCAGGAGAGGCACAACAAUUUUUUUAUGGAAACAAUUCACAUGUAGGAACUCCCUGGUUAGUACUAGGGCACAUGUCAAUUAUAUAGCUAGAUAAAUGUAAAGCAUAUGGCAAAAUAUGAACCGUAUCUACCUAUAUGUCAAGGUUCACCAAUCCAUAAGAAUGACAAUUUGUUAUUUUAAUGUGUCCCAUGGCAUUUCUAAUAAUGUGUUCCAUGGCAAUUUCUUCUUUGUUAGUAACACUAAUACUACUGUGUCCGGUCGGCUACCGUCGUUGACGGUGGAGGUCGUGCCCUCCCGCGUGCCGACGGUGCUGCGGCCCCUAGCCCCGACUCCUAUUCUCCAUUGUGCAGGCCUCACUUUGUGGUGCCGUGGUGAGACGGCGUGGAGGCUUCAUGACCGCGGUGGCGCAAGAUGGUGGGUGGUCGGUUUGGUGGCAGGCUCUAGAGCAUCCGAGGUGAAGGUUGGGAUCGGGGGAAACUCCUGUCGGCCUGUCCGACACCGACGCGGCGAUGCCAGUGGGUGCUCCCGGACCUUCCUGGAGGGCGUCGGGGGUGACCCUUCCUCUCGCCUCGUUGCGUAUCGGGGGAAACCCUUGGCAGCAACGUCGUCAUCGUCGCGGUCCUUCUUGGAGGUGUUGAUUGGUACCGGUGCUUCAGAGCCUUGGAGCUUGGUGGGAGAUCUUCGGUGGGCGCAGUGGUCGUGAAGCUUCUUCGUUUCCGUUAAUCCGCCAUUGUCGGCAUUUUUUCUCUUUCGUUUCUUUUGGGUGUGAUUGUGCUGCUUCUGCCCAACACCUAUCGUUGGCUGUAUCGAUUGGUUGCUUUGUAAUACAAAGCGGGGGAAAACCCUUUUUCUUAAAAGUGAAGGCUGAGCCCAAAAUUAAAUUUUACUUGCGGCUUCUAUUGAAGAAUGGCACCUCUUCUGUCCUAUGUGAUCAGGUUCCUGAAUCUGCUACUCAACUGACGUUUAACUGCUCCUUCGCUCGCCACCUCUUCUGUCCCUCUGACAAUAAGGUGGCUACCGUCGGAUUUCGUGCUGUCACAAUCAAAGUUUGGUGGCACAAAUCUUCCUCCCUGAGCAAGUUUGCUGUCUUGAAGAAGCAAGACACUGCUGCUGAUUACAUAUCGUAGAAUCACUACCCCAAACAGACUUUUUCGUGACGGCCAGACACGUUCGUGACGGGCGCGAAACCUCCUUCAGGAAUGUGUACGUGUUCCUGACGUGGAUGGUCAACCGAGGGGAAAGAUCGUUACGUUCCUGACGCUCUCAGCAAUAACCUUCAGGAAUGAGAAUAACCUUCAGGAACGCAGUUGCACGUUCGCGUCGGGACACUAUCCACGUCGCGAAUCACUUUGCACACCUUCAGGAACGUAUAUGUGACCGUCAGGAAGAUACCUAUGCGGGACCCGGAGAUAUUUUCGCUUUUGAGGCGCGUGAUAUUUUCGUUUGGAGAGUGAAAAGCGCGCUGAAAUUUCGUUCCCAGGGUGUAUUUCGUGCGACUUGCGCUCUCAACAGGAGGGCUUGGUCAAAACACAGGAGGGCUUGGUCAAAAUACCUAGAACUCGAUCCACUUUUCCCCAUCGAGAUACUCCUCCCACUCCCCCGUCCAGCGCCGCCACCUCCCCCGUCCAGCGCCGCCACUUCCCCCGUACCGGCCGUCCAGUUCCGAUCGGCCGCCCCCCCUAGCCGUCGAGCGCCGCCCACAUCGCCGUCGAGCGCCAUCCCCCUCGUCGUCGAGCGCCACCCCAACUCGCCGGCGACGUCCAGAUCCGCCUCCCUGGCCGGCGAUUUCCAGAUCCGCCUCCCUCCCCGUGCAGAGGUGACUCCCUGCCCGUCCAGGCCCUCUUUCUCAUCUUCCCUACCCAAUCUGGCUGUUGUAUCAAAUAGUUUAGAUGUGCUGCACAGCUACAAAAAAAUCUAUUUCAUUCUUAAUUCUGAAUAUGUAACUUUUGUGCAUUUUAUGUCCAUGCAAAGAACUUCUGUAUGUUGAAAAAAAAUGCUAUUUACGAUUGAAAAUUAGUUUCAAAUCUGUGUACAGUGGUACAUUUUUCCUUUUUAGUUAACAAUUUCAUUUUGUACUUAAACGAUGUUGAUUGAGUAAUCUUGUAGUACUUGUGAUAAAUUCGCUAUGUUUCUGCAGUGGCUCAUUAUCAUUUAUUCAGACCAAAAGCGUGUUGGUAAGUUGCAUUCAGUUUCAUUUGACCUCCCAGUAUGGGUAGUUUGUUGAAAAAACAUGUUCCCUUAUGUAGGGAAAGAUGUAUGGCCCUGCAGAAUGAGUUAGAAAUUAUGCUUCUAUAUAAUGUGGUGGAUUAUGGAUCACUAAUGUAAUUUGUGUUCUCAGAUAUUUCUUUUUGGAGGUCAAGUAUGGAUUAUGGAUUAUGGAUUACUAAUGUAAUUUGUGGUGGAUUAGGGAAAGAUAUAUUGCUAUCCCUAACCACCUGAGAACAGAAUAGAAGAUGUCUUUCAUGUAUAUUUUGACUAACCACCUGAGAAUGAUUAUUUGUUCUCGUACAUGUUUUCUUUCCUUGUAGAUAAUUGAUAGAACAUUUAUUCAUUUAGCAUUUAGAGCCUUUUUGCAGCACAAUUUAAACUUUUACCUCCUCUCCAAUGACGACGCUGCUCUUCCCCAACGACAGCUUGCUGCUGAACUCUGUCAACACCUGCUGCUAAUCGUCUCUUGCAUCUACAUGUUCCUGUUCUUCUCCAUCUUCAAAGCCACGUCUUAGACUGCUGCAACACCAAGCUCCAGAAGCCAAAUUUAUGUUCUGUACUCCAUUAUCUCACCUCUUCCCUCGCUGAUUUCUUGAACCCCUUGCUUGUUCAGUUAGUGUGAUGUCUGUUCCUUUAUGCUUCCAAUUGAGAUGAUCUAGUUCUAGUUUUAUCACCUUAGUAUUUCAAUUAUUUGCUCCUUUGCAAGACUGAAGAUCCGAUGCUCUGUUAGAUUUAAAUUUCUUGUUCAACUUAAGAGAAAAUGUUAGUGUCCUGUUGAUUGUGUUCCAGCAUGAACUCGUUCCGAACCUCACCUACUGCCGUUUUAUUCUAUAUCGAGUUUUGUCCAAGUUUUGAGUGUUGGUUGUUUGUUAGAAGAGCAUCUUCUCUUAUGUAGGAAAAGAAGAAUGGCCUAUGGCAGCAACAAAGAUGAACACUUGCAAGUUCAUGAAGUUGGAAGUUUGCAAAUGUGGUUGAGAGUGGAGAUUGUGGCCCCAUCAAUAAUAUAAUGUUCAAAAGUGUCUUGUAAGUUCCUGCACCUUUGCUCUUUAUUCAAAACUACGACAAAUGUUAAUCUAAAAUGUAACAUUUUUGUUUUUCAAUAAAUUGUUUGUUCCAUGAUCAGUACAGUUGUAUUAUAAUGAUGGCAUCCUUUGCAUUUCUCUUGAACUUGUGUACACAAACAUAGAAGUAGAACAGCAAAAGGUUGUCAGUGCAUUAGCUUCACCCUGCUGCUCCAAUAACACUUAUACUACACGAUGUAUAUACCUCUAAACUUGCAUUUAUGAGUAUGUCCCCAGUUAUUCUAAUUUUCUUCACAAAUACAGCUUCUGAGUAGAAAUCGUUGUAGAUACUUGGGGCCACCAUUCUCCUCACCAGACCCUUGGGUGGGCGAAGGCCCUCAAGCACCUCCACUUGAACUUCUGGUGAGUAAGUCUGUAAGGAACCACCCCAGGACAGUUCUAGUCAUAUUAGUCUUUUCUUAUCAGCUAGCUUUGCAUCGCCCGCCUCCUUGUUUUUAACAUUUUCAAGAUGAUGAAUUUUUGGAUUGCCUUGCAGCUUGUUUAGGCUCUCCAACUGUUUUAGCUCAUGCCAAUGUUCCGUCCUUACUUGAAAUACAUCAAGUUCUUUUAGUGAUGCUAAACUGCUGAUGUUCAGAACUUGCAUCGCAAAGCUAUAAAUAUGCUGCUUACUGCUAGUUUUCUACAUGUAGUGCUAGUUCUGUACAUGCAGUUUAGUGUUCCGCAUACUUAGAUUUUUCCUAUGAAGUGAUGAUUUUGUUUGCUAUCAUGUAAAGUUGUGAAGGGGGUUGGUCAUCACAAAAUUUCAUUUGCCAUGAAUACUAUGGAUAUAGGUCAUUGGAUUGCAACCAUUUAUUUUUUUCUUCCCUUUUCUUUUCUUUUGUUCAUUAUGUUCCGGUUACAAUUUAAAUAAUUGCAGCCUGUACUUGGCAAUAAGAGAAGUCUUCUUCACUUGCUUGGUGGCUAGCAACAAGUGUGUCAUGAGCUGGAGCUUACCUUUUGGUUUGAAAACCUGUAUGUAUAACAGUUUUGCCUUUCACCGUUGUUCAUUGAAAUCUCCUAUAUUUUUCUGUCGUAUAGGUGAAUGGAACCUUCCAAGCCCACGUGAAUGCUGAUACUCCGUUGGCAGAAUGUUCCCAUGAUGAAGACAAUCCUCAUGCUACUCAUGCGGAUGAGCAUAGUUCUAUUCCAACACAGGACAAACAUUUAGGAAUUCCAGUAGUAUAGCUAGUUAAUAUUGUGAACUGCAGUGCAGUUAGGCUUUCUUUGUCAAUUGCUUCUCCUGGCAAUUUAGGAAUCAACUAGUAUGCGUGUUUUGGACUUGGUGACACCUCCUGUUAAGUCAAGCUUCCAUGAAUCAUGACUUGGAUAUGAAUGUGUGGAUCUUGUGAACAAUGAGAUUUAAAUAAAUUGGAUGGGUACAUUGUGACCUAGGAAUUGGUUGUGAUUUUAAACCGGGUCGUGUGACCUUUGUGUACGCAUGAUUGUCAAAAGAUUUGCAUGUGGCUGUGAAUAUAUACUGUUUUCCAAUAAUAUUUUUGGUUUGUCUUGGUUGAUUCCUGACGACUGUUUUCAUACUUUCCUGACGAAGCUAGCCGUCAUGGAUAUAUGUUGAGCUCAUUCCUGAAGGUAUGGUCCUGAGAGCCACAGAAGAUGUUCCUGACGGUAUCUCCUGACGGUGGGGCCGUCAGGAAUUUGAGUUUGGGAGGCGAGGGGCUCCCCUCAGGAAUUGCCGUCAGGAACACUAUUCGUGACGGGGACCGUCAGGAACAAUCCUCUUUCCUGACAAGCUGUUUCUGACGGGAAAUUCCUGACGGCAGGGGCUCAUUCCUGACGAAAACUGUUGAUUCCUGACGGAUUUUGGCCGUCAGGAAAAAGUCAGUUUGGGGUAGUGAAUCUAUGGAAAGGGAGGAACUGCCGAUCUUUUGAGGACGUGAGUGCAGACGCUGAGGUUGUAGACAGUGUAUGGCUUAUGCUUAUAGUCCGAGGUAGCGUCCUCCAAAGCAUGGUUGGCUCCCUUUGAUGCUUCAGAGCAAACUUUGAUGGUUAGCAUUGCCGAUGACCCUGAGUCUGAAACUUGUUUGCUCGUGAGACAUGUUCAACUGAAUUUGGAAACAUGUGAUCAAUGAAGGUUUCAGUCAAGGCAUUAUCCAAAUGCAAGCAGAGAUGUUCAUCUUGAAUGAUGGCGCUUAAUUUUCCUAAACAGUCAAUACAUUGUCCUUAUAUUAACUAGCAUUCUUCUUCCAGUCUCAGCAUGACAUAGGACGCCGCUCGAGCAUUGUCUAACUAUAAGAAGUUAAAAGAAUCACGCGACGCGCCCCAACCUCUGAAUCUUCCAUGGAGCUUGAAGGGAAGCCUGAGGCCAGUAUUACAUGGUUGCUUCUGGGCUUGCAUUGUGUUUAAAUGUUAGUUUAUGUUGCACUGACAUGAUGUUAACUUCACUAUUUUUGUAGGCAUUAUAUACAAUUUUUCUGCUCAUUUGUACUUGAUGCAUUUGCCAAACAGUUGUCUGGUCCUGCUAUUUCUUUUUACCUAAAUGUUAGAAGGCUGAUGUCAGAUUUUUAAGGAGUCGGAGCGAACGACCUCGUGCAUGUCGGGUCCCACGCACCAAUCCUGAAGUGUUCACUGCAAAUACAUCCUUUGAGCAAACUACAAGGUGUUGGCACUAAGCACUAAUUGGUUCGCUCAGGAUGUCAAUAUGAGCGAACACAUUCACAGACGAUGAUAAUUUAUGUUUUUAGAGCAUGUCAAUUAUCACCUUUUUCCGUUGAUGUAGCAUGACGAUUUCAUUCAGCUAGUAUGGCAAUUCCUGAAUGGCAAUUUUUAGUUUACAACAUGGCAACUCCUUAUACAAAAUCACAUUUUUUGAGCAUUCGCUUAAAGUUUUUUCAAUGAACGAAAAUGUUUGCUUGUUCGUGUGACAUCUAGGCUUAAGAAAAUGAUAUAUUACUCAUAUCAACAAGGUACACCUGCUUUUUAGGGCGCCAUCCGAAAGAAACAUCCAAAUUUAGUGCGUGCACGAGUGAGGAAACACAACUAAAGGGUCGUUACUAAACCCUCCCCCUUUAGUCCCAGUUCUUAUACGAACAGGGACUAAAGGCCCUCCACGUGGCCGCUGCCUGGAGGUCCACAUUUAGUCCCGGUUGAUAACACUAACCGGUACUAAAGGAAAUUUUAUGAUUUUUUUAUUUUUUUUAUUUUCAAAUUUCUGAAUUAUUUUAACCUCUAAUCUCUAAUCAACCCUCAUCACUGCUCAAUUUAACCUCUAAUAUCUAUUCACCCCUCAUCAUUCCAAAUCAUCUAACUUCUCGGACGGUCACCCAUCCUCUCAUUACUCCAGUCUGAGCACGCUUAACUUCAGGGUUCUAUAUUUCCUCGUUUCCAAGUUGUUUUCCUGACAAUAGUAAGAUGUCAAUCCUAUUAACCCUCAGGAAUUUAGCUUGAGCAUGAAGUCACACAUUUCAUUGUUUGAGUUUGAAACUAUUGUUCUAAAAAACAAUAAUUAUUUAGUAACACUAAUAUUUCUUGAAUAAGUAGUUUGACCACAAUUUGACCAUAGUUUGACCAAUGUUUGACCAGAUUUGACCAAAAUACAAAAAAACUGAAAUAAUUAUUUAGUAACACUAAUAUUUUUUAAUAAGUAGUUUGACCAUUGUUUGACCACAGUUUGACCAUAUUUGACCAAAAUUCAAAAAAACUGAAAUAAUUAUUUAGUAACACUAAUAUUCUUGAAUAAUUAGUUAGUAACACUAAUACUUCUUGAAUAAGUAGUUUGACCAGAUUUAACAAAAAUUCAAAAAAAUUGAAAUUUGAGCAUAACUUUUUUUCCUUUUAGAAUUUGAGGAUUCUAAAAAUUUGCAAACAGGCCACCUUGAUCUGAUGAUAACCAGAAUAAGCAUCUAAAAAGCUCAAACGCUCACAACUCGCCGUAGCAUCAAUGAUCUGAUCAAUAUGGGGAAGAGCAAAAGGAUCAGCUGAGCAAAGCUUUGUUAAGGUCUGUGUAAAUCCACACACAUACGCCAAAGUGCCAUUUUUCUUAAGUACUAGCACCGGAUUAGCUAACCACUCAGAAAGAAAAACUUCAACAAUGAACCCGGUUGCCAAGAGGGCCACCUCUUCUCCAAUGGCCAUGCCUCUCCUUAUUAAAACAAUGAAGAAAUUGUUUGACCGACUUAAACUUAGGAUCAAUAUUGAGAGUGUGCUCAGCGAGUUUCCUAGGUACACCUGGCAUGUCUGAAGGCUUCCAUGCAAAGAUGUCCUGGAUCUCAUGGAUGAACUCGAUGAGCGCGUUUCCUAUUUCGGAAAGUGCUAUGCUAGUUUCUUAUGUUGCAGAUCAUGAACUUUGUAAGAUCAAUUCUUGUAAUGUUGAACCCACCAGUCUAUCUUUAAGACUGCUUUUAAGUUUCAUUUUGUGCAAAUUUUCACUCUCUAUGUUAAUGUUUAGUUGCCCGGUCAAUGCAAGUAAAACAAACUGCUACCAAAUUAUAGGCAAACAAACAAAAUGUUGCCAAAAUUCAUUUCCAUUCAAACAAAUACAUGUCAUAUACAAUUGGAUACAUCAAGCAUGCACCACACUUUAUUCAUUCUCAUUCCCUACUACAGGAUCACUUCUUAAAAACUACAUGCACUAUUAUUGCAACCAAUACAACAAAAUGCACUGAAAAUACUCCUAUAUAGGAAAAUAAGCUCAUUUACUAUCAAAAGUGCUUUGCAUUUAUUGCUUCAUAGUCUUCUUCCUACUAUAUUUGUUCACUAGCACUGACACUAGCCAAAUCAACACUGCUCAGUGUGCCUAGUUCCAAACAAGACAUCCUUGUAGUUGUCUGGUCUAUCUUUCCAAGUAGUAGUGUUGGCAAAGAUUUGAUUAAGCCUGUCACACAAUUUCACACAUGUGAGAAAACACACGGAAAAGAGAUCAAAAUCGAGCAAAAAAUGGAAUCUUACACAAUGAUUAGGGGUACUUGUAGAAAACCCUCCUAGGAUUUUGCGUCUAAUUUUGACACAAGAUGAAUCGUUGACCGAAUUCGGCAGCAAUGGCAUGCCACCAACGACAGUCUCCCCGUUGGUUGCGGCAGUGGAAGUGACGCUUGCACAACCUUCUUCCUGGGGCGCUUCCUAGUAGACGAGCCUGAGGCGGCCGACAUGGCGAUGGAGCAACCAUGGCGAGAGAGAGAGAGAGAAGACCUAGGGACCGGGGAAUGAAAAGAAUCAAUGCUACAAAGGGCCGCAUUGCAUAAAUGCCCAAUCGUUAGCCUCGGGAAAUCUCCCGCCUGGGCCCUCCAGACGGCGUGGCUGGGGUCAAAGUGCCACGCAGGCUGGUCAGCGCUGAUGAGAGAGAAUUAGAAUCUGAGAUGGACGACUUAAAAAGAUUUAGGACCCAGACUUGCAUUUUCAAAGUAUUGGGACUCAGUUGGCAAUUCAACGAAAGAAUUAGGACCGCCUAUGCAUUUUACUCUUUAAGUUUUUCUAGACAAAUUUACUCUUUAAGUUUUUUUUUUGAGGCAAUUUUACUCUUUCAGUUAACUUUUUUUUGUGAGAAACUCUUUAAGUUAACUUUUUUGGGCUACCUCUUUAAGUUAAGUUUCUUUAGGGGUAACUUAAUUUAAGUUUUUUUUGAGGGGUAACUCUUUAGGUUAGGUUUUUUUAGAAUCAACUCUUUAAGUUAUUUUUUGUUUUGUUUUGUUUUUGAUAAUCAACUCUUUAAUUUAAGUUAACUCUUUAAUAAGUUCAGUUAAAAGAAAUCUUUAAUAAGUUAAGUUUUUUUUGAUAAUUUAAUACUCCCUCCAUUCCUAAAUAUAAGUGUUUUUAGAGAUUGCACUACGAACUACAUACAGAUGUAUAUAGACAUUUUUUAGAGUGUAGAUUCACUCAUUCUUACUUUGUAUGUAGUCCUAGUGAAAUCUCUUUAAAGACUUAUAUUUAGAAACGGGGUGGUAAGUUAAGUUUUUUAGCAGCAUUUAAUAAGUUAUGUUUUUUUUGAAGAAUUUAGUAAGUUAAGUUUUUCUAGAAGAAUUUAACAAGUUAAGUUUUUUUAGAAGUAGGAAUAUUUUUUUUUUGCGUUCAAGAAGUAGGAGUAUUUAAUAUGUUAAGUAAGUAUAGAGAUAAAGAGGUUGCUUUGCCUUGGCCCAACAAGUGGCACCGGUACCCGCUGAUAAGUCACCUGGGCCUUAGCCCAGCCCAAAGCACUAGCAGCAUAAGAAUCAACAAAGAGGAAAGGGGUCGACAGCGGCGAUGUUAGGAUUUGCUCGGAGGCGGCGGCGAGUAAGGAUUCAUUCAUCAUGGCGUCUGUAGAGCAGUUGGAGUCGGAGGAGGAGGUGGAGGGCUUCGAGCCUUUCUUCUAUGACAGUGAGGAUUGGGAUGCCUGGGCGGAGGAGGAGGCGGAGAGGCGCCGGCGGGAGGAAGAGGAGAAGGCGCGGAGGACGGAGGAGAACCGGCGGAGACGCGAGGCACACGAUGCGGUCAUGGACUCCAUCAUCCAGCACGAUCCCAAGGUGGGGCGCGACGUCUACACCCGAUUCUUUCUCAGAGAUUUCUCCGUCUUUGACAUCAACGAAGAGUGUAAGUGGCCUCUCCGUUUCUGAAGCCGGUGUAGUACUCUUCUCUUUUGGCUUUAUAUUUGUAGAAUUGUCUGAUUGACAGUAUGCAUGGGAACUGAAUUAGUACGUUUCACCUGCAUAAUCCUCUGUUAGGAGAAUCCUCUGACAUGCCAUGUUCAUUAUUGAUGCAUAGCAGUAAACAGCAAAUCUCAGUCCGUUUACUAGAUUGGAUCUAGUUUCAAUUAACAACAGGAACUCACUGAUUUGGCUAAAACUGAAAUUGACUUUCUACAGAUGGUGAGAUGAUAGUUUCCUCUUGAAGUUAACAGCGAAUCUCAUUUCAUUUACUUAGAUUUGAUUCAUAUGUAUAUCACUUAACAACAGAAGUCACUGAUUUUGCUAAAAUUGAAAUUAACUUGGUUCGAAUGGUGAGAUGAUAGCUUUCUCUUGUAGUUAACUCGCAAGUCAAAAUAAGAAUAUUAGAUGGUUUAACUCAGUGGGAUAUAAACGGGAAAAACACAAACUGGGCCUUUUUAUUGUGAUGAAAUAAUCUGACAGAUAUAUUUUGUUUAUUCGUCGCAGCGUCUGUCCCUCCAAUGCGAUACACCGAUAGUAUCUACCAAGAUGAAUUUGGGCUAGAAGACUCUGCAAACAUCCUCUCUGUCAGCAUAGUCUCCUCAGAUGUAGGCUUCCCAGUCAAUGUCUAUGGCCGUGUCAUUGCCAGAGACAGCAUUGACUACAAGUGCAUUUAUCUCUUUCACCGCAAUAGAGAUGAUUGCCAGCAUCUCAACAAGGUACAUCCUUGCUUCUAAGUUUGUUCCAAUCGGGUUUCAUUUUAUUCCAUGGUGCAUUUAAUAUCAACUGUUAAUUGGCAUCUAAAUGGAGUCAUCUUAGUGCUGGUGGUUGUCGAUCCAGACAGUCAUCUGCAUAUAAAUGGAGUAGCUUUUAUGGCAUGCUUCCAAUCUUCAUUUUGAGCAGUGUUUGGAUGAGCAUACUCUAACCUCUCGUGCAAUUCUUUUCAUAGGAUGGAAUGCUGAUUUUAACUGGCCCAUAUCGAGGUCCAGUGCUGGUUGAUUUCAUCUAUCUAGAGAUAGAUCUUAAAAUAAGGGAAGAAGGAGUUCCAGACAGGCCAUUUAGCAAGGGUCUAAUAAGCAUUGAUGGCCGAGUACUGUCUAGAGAGAAAGAUGUCAUGGUUAGAAGUGAAACACUUGAGAGCUGGCUCAGCACUACGGAAGUGAGAUUCACAACUGUCCUGGAUGCAGUCGAGUGCACCUUUGAAAUCAAGCUCAUUGAGGGGCUUUUUAAAGGAAAUAUAACAGUUGGCAUCGUGGAUAAAGCUCGCAAGCUGGACAAUGAACAAACGAUUGUGAUUCAUGAUAGCACAGCAGAUGGCGUGGUUACAAGUGAUGAAAGUGGAGUUAUCAAACUCCGGCGAAGUGUCAUUACUAUCUGUCUGGAAAGAAAUGUAAUGUUUUGCAUAAAUAAUGAGGCUGCUGGUGUUUGUCCUGAACGAACCUUUGAUUUCACUCCACGCCGCACUGGUGUAGAUGAAGAGAAAAUUACGUGUGGUGCUGGGGAGUUCGGAUUCAGGAUUGUCUGGUCCUUGAUGGACUUUAGGCUGUAAUCCUGUCACUUGGUAAACUUAGUUCUGAUGUAAUGAAGUGAUGCAAUGAUGCAGUGAACUAUGUUAAUCGUGAUGUAAUAAUGUGGUGCACUAAGUUAUAUUAUUGUUAUUAAGUAACUUGAUGGAUUAUAAGUAAUGAGUAGCGAACUAAGUUAUUAUAUAGUAUUAUGCUGGCUUGUUAUACCAAAUUUGUUGGCUUAAUUUUUUGGCAUAAUUAAAGAAGAUUAGUGCACUUGGCGUUUUGUUAGACAUGUAUUAGGCGGAAAUGCGAGCAUUUGUCACUGUUAACGGACAUUUCUACCAUAUUUAUCUGUGGUUUGUAUUGAUUGCUCAUGGU
rnacentral:lncRNA from 1 species